rnacentral:rRNA from 1 species
GACGAACGCUGGCGGCGUGCUUAACACAUGCAAGUCGAACGGAAAGGCCCUGCUUUUGUGGGGUGCUCGAGUGGCGAACGGGUGAGUAACACGUGAGUAACCUGCCCUUGACUUUGGGAUAACUUCAGGAAACUGGGGCUAAUACCGGAUAGGAGCUCCUGCUGCAUGGUGGGGGUUGGAAAGUUUCGGCGGUUGGGGAUGGACUCGCGGCUUAUCAGCUUGUUGGUGGGGUAGUGGCUUACCAAGGCUUUGACGGGUAGCCGGCCUGAGAGGGUGGCCGGCCACAUUGGGACUGAGAUACGGCCCAGACUCCUACGGGAGGCAGCAGUGGGGAAUAUUGCACAAUGGGCGGAAGCCUGAUGCAGCAACGCCGUGUGCGGGAUGACGGCCUUCGGGUUGUAAACCGCUUUCGCCUGUGACGAAGCGUGAGUGACGGUAAUGGGUAAAGAAGCACCGGCUAACUACGUG